ACCGGUGGUCAUAGCAGAGUGGAAAUACCCGUUCCCUUCCCGAACACGGAAGUAAAACGCUCUAACGUCGAUGGUACUGCGGCUUGUCCGUGGGAGAGUAGAAAGCUGCCGGUU
rnacentral:rRNA from 1 species